rnacentral:lncRNA from 1 species
GUAGGAUGUUUGAGCUUUAGUCGUGGACUAAAUAAAUGGGGGAUGGCAUCCACAUCUGCCAGGAGUGGGGACAAAAAGGACACCUGGCCAAUUCAAGCUGCUGCCUCCUUAGGUGGAGGGCAGAAAGCCUCAUUAUCCCGCUCUGAAGAAUUCCUGACCCGAAUCAGCACAGAACUUACAGAUGAAGCACUGUUUACUGCUCGCUCUCAUAUGAAUCCUAUGCCCGACAAGGAAAAGCAGACAAAAGACCAAGGGACUCAGAUAUCUAGACAUGUGUUCUUCACCAAGACCCGAGGCACUGACACCCGCUCUGACAGAAAUCGAACUCGAACCAAGGCACACCUUCUGCCAUCUCCUCGUGAAAAGGGAGUACUCCCCACCAGCCUGACAACUGGAGGAUGAGCUCAGUCCUCCCUAGUUCUGCUCUCUCUCGGCCUCUUACCCUCUCCACCAUGCUCCUCAGUGAAAACCUCAAAGCCCCUCUUUUACAACUGACUAAGUCUCUCAUCUUGGGAAGAACUCCUGGUCAUAAGCAAAGCCACCUUUGAAACCAAGAAAAUCUUCUGGCACUGUUACAGGACCCUCCACCCUCCACCCUCCACCCUCCACCGGCAACACUACUAAGAAGAGAAGGUUUUAAUAAAGAACCAGGGAUCUUCUUUUCCCCCAAAACAUUGGCAGAGUUCUGGAGUAGCUCCUGGAGGGGGUGGGGGUUAUGCCUUUCUUCUAGACAGGGAUGGAACAUGUCAG